rnacentral:rRNA from 1 species
AUGAGCUCGUCGUCUGCCGCCAUGCACCCCAAGGCCGUGUACCGGCUCAUCGUGGACAACUUCCUUGCCGUUGUCACCGCCGCCAUGGCCACUCUCUCUGUCGUCGCCCUGGUGUGGCUCGGGCCAGAGGAGCUGAUCAGCUGGCUCCGUGGCCGUGAGUUCCAGCCAGCGCACCUGUUCUUCGCCGGGUUCGUUGCGGCCGCAGCAGCCACCUUGUACCUCCUGCUCCGUCCGCGUGCCGUGUACCUGGUCGACUAUGCCUGCUUCAGCUCCUCCUUCAACCGCCCGCUCGCCCGCAUCCCCAUGGCCUCAUUCAUCGAGCACAACAAGCACACGCCCAGCAUCAACGAGCGCAGCGUCCGGUUCAUCUCGCGGCUGCUGGAGCGCUCCGGGCUCGGGGAGGAGACCUGCCUGCCGGCGGCGCACAACUACGUCCCGACGCACAAGUACUGCACCCUCGACAACGCCCGCGCCGAGUUCGAGCUCGUGGUCUUCUCGGCGAUCGACGACCUGCUCGCCAAGACCGGCGUCACCCCAGACGCGAUCAGCGUGCUCGUCCUCAACUGCAGCCUGUUCUGCCCCACGCCAUCCCUGGUGGACGUAAUCAUCAACAAGUACAACCUGCGUAGCGACGUCCGUAGCAUCAACCUCUCGGGCAUGGGGUGCAGCGCGGGUCUCAUCUCCGUGGGGCUCGCCCGGAACCUCCUGCAGGUUGUUCCCCGAGGCUCCCGCGCACUGGUCGUCUCCACGGAGACCAUCACGCCCAACUACUAUGUCGGCAACGAGCGCGCCAUGCUGCUGCCAAACUGCCUGUUCCGUGUCGGCGGGGUGGCCGCGCUGCUGUCCACGUCCCCCGCAAAGGCCCGAUUCCGCCUCAAGCACGUUGUGCGCACCUUCACCGGCACCGACGACAGCGCUUACCGGUGCGUGUAUCAGGAGGAGGAUGAGCAGGGGAACAUCGGGAUCAACCUCAGCAAGAACUUGAUGGCCAUCGCCGGGAACUCGCUCGAGGCCAACAUCACCAGGAUCGGGCCACUGGUCCUGCCGGCCUCCGAGCAGCUCCUCUUCGCUCUCUCCUUCGUUGCGCGGAAGGUGCUUCGCGUGCGAGUCAAGCCCUACAUCCCGGACUUCUCCACGGCGUUCAAGCACUUGUGCAUCCACGCGGGCGGCCGCGCCGUCAUCGACGAGCUGCAGAAGAACCUCAGCCUCUCCGACGAGCAGGUGGAGGCGUCGCGGAUGACGCUGCACCGGUUCGGUAACACGUCGAGCAGCUCGUUGUGGUACGAGCUGGCCUACGUGGAGGCCAAGGGCCGGAUGCGCAAGGGCGACCGCAUUUGGAUGAUCGGCUUCGGCUCAGGGUUUAAGUGCAACAGCGCGGUGUGGGAGUGCAUAGACCCUCCUGCACGCAGCACUGAUGGGCCGUGGUCCACGUGCAUCCACAGGUAUCCGGUGGACAUUCCUGACGUCCGAAACAACUAG